rnacentral:rRNA from 1 species
GAUGAACGCUGGCGGCGUGCCUAAUACAUGCAAGUCGAGCGAACAGACGAGGAGCUUGCUCCUCUGACGUUAGCGGCGGACGGGUGAGUAACACGUGGAUAACCUACCUAUAAGACUGGGAUAACUUCGGGAAACCGGAGCUAAUACCGGAUAAUAUAUUGAACCGCAUGGUUCAAUAGUGAAAGACGGUUUUGCUGUCACUUAUAGAUGGAUCCGCGCCGCAUUAGCUAGUUGGUAAGGUAACGGCUUACCAAGGCAACGAUGCGUAGCCGACCUGAGAGGGUGAUCGGCCACACUGGAACUGAGACACGGUCCAGACUCCUACGGGAGGCAGCAGUAGGGAAUCUUCCGCAAUGGGCGAAAGCCUGACGGAGCAACGCCGCGUGAGUGAUGAAGUUCUUCGGAUCGUAAAACUCUGUUAUUAGGGAAAAACAAAUGUGUAAGUAACUAUGCACGUCUUGACGGUACCUAAUCAGAAAGCCACGGCUAACUACGUG